ensembl:ncRNA F46B6.15 ncRNA
CAACAAGAUGCGCAGAGUCGCUUGCUGGCGCGUUCUUCGUGACACGAGAAGCGCGUUAAGUGGUGUGCACAUGAAAAUUGUCGUCGUGUCUCCUAAAUUUUGUGCCAAGUGGCAGAUUCUCUUGUUUUUGGUUGUUUUCUUCUAU